rnacentral:rRNA from 1 species
AGUGGCGGACGGGUGAGUAACGCGUGGGUAACCUGCCUCAUACAGGGGGAUAACAGUUAGAAAUGACUGCUAAUACCGCGUAAGACCACAGCACCGCAUGGUGCAGGGGUAAAAACUCCGGUGGUAUGAGAUGGACCCGCGUCUGAUUAGGUAGUUGGUGGGGUAACGGCCUACCAAGCCGACGAUCAGUAGCCGACCUGAGAGGGUGACCGGCCACAUUGGGACUGAGACACGGCCCAA